AUACUGUCCAUAUUAUAGAAUACGAGGCUAUCAAUUGGAUGCAUCAUGGCUUGUGCUCGCAUGAGAGUCAAGAAGAGCGUCAUUCGAGAAUGUUGUUGGGUCGUUCCCAUCAUCAUUAAGGCCUACAUGGUGCUUCAUCAUAUGCAAAAAUUCGUGAUAAAAAAGAGCACAUCGAACUACCUUUGGACAAGAUUAUAAUCAUUUAGAUAGUCUUUGGAUAUCUGUAAAUAAGAAAUGCAUUUAAAUAAGAUUAUAUUUGGGUGUAGUUGUUGCAUUUACAACUAUAAUUUCAAUGCUUGAUGUAGUGGUUUUGUAGUUGCAGGAAAAUAACAUGACAUAUUUGUUUGCCUGUAUUUGAUAACUCUAGAUGUACUUGGUUGUAUUACAAAACUGGUAUGAAUUGUCUGCACCGGCCAAUAACCUUGCUAGGAUUUAAACCCAUCAUAAAGAUGCUUCCAAAGAUUUUUCUAGUUGCAGCAGUUUGCCUUACGAUCAAUUUGGCUAUAAAACAAAAUUCUGCACAUGGACCUCCAAACGUAGUUUGACUCACAGGAAUUUCAUCAACUUACAGCAAUCCAAACACUAAAAAGAAACUACUUCUUAUAGUCCAGAUUCAUCUAAACCUAGUUGCAAAUAUCCAAACACACCUUAAAUUAAGUUGAUGGCCGAAGGAGGCUUAAACUUGUAGUUGAUACUUUCAUGAAUGUUUGCCCAGUUUAUUGUAUACUUUGUUUAUAAAGUCAGUCUCAGGUGUUUGGCUAGUAUAGCAGAUAAUCCAAGACUUAAAUGCUAUAAUUGUUUAUCAUUUUUAGUAAACAAAUGUCCUAUUUAUCUGUUGCCAUAAACAAGCUAAGCUUGCUCUCCUGAUUUUCCUUUGGUGUUGAUUAUUUCUAUUGCCAAGAUUUUGAAUAAAAUUACUUUUACCUAAAGCCUGCUUUUUUGUAACCACAAGAUGAUAUCUUGUUCAUUUGCUAGAAGCUUACUAAGUGGUUAUAUUUUUAAGAUCCUAUAGGACAAUUUGAUGGCAUUUAAAUAAUUUAGGAUUGCAUUUCAUUCAAGAAAAAGAAGUGAAAUACGAAUACUUGCUCCUUUUAAAUUCUCAUUUUUGUCGCUAAAAUUUCCACAAAGAAAUAUCGGCAAAGGAUUGGAAGUAGGAAUAAACAAACACAAUGAAUAAAUCAUAGCUACCUCUCACUUUCACAGUUAUUCUAGGCAUAAGCAGGUUUAACUAGAAUAAGUAGUACCUUUUCAUUUAUAAUUAGAUCCACUUGGCAAGCACAAGGCUCACCCUGGAUUUAUAUCUACUUUAUUCACAAAGCGGAUUCUCCAUGUAAUAACAGUCUCUCCUUGCGACAUAAAGGAGGAAGGCAUGGACUGAUUGGUGAAAAAUGCUUCAUAAAAAAGUUCUUGGCUUAUCAACUUACUGCUCAACCACCUACUGUGUCUCGCAACUUCAUGUUCAACCACUUGCUGUGUAUCACACCAACUCUUUAAAUGGCACUAAUCCUUUGUCCGGUCUCACAACGAAAAUAUUUUCUGUGCAUCAAACAAGCACCCCCUGGCUUAUGAGCAUACACACUUAAUAACUCAACUAAUCAAGAAACUCAGUCAUCAACAUAAUACCUACCUUACCCUACAUCAGAGCCUACUGAUUAAGAAAAAUUCCAAAAUUAAGAAAGAUACCAUACUAAACCAUGAGGUUUCAUAAAAUUAGAAUUUCUGCCUGAAAAGUAGUUCCAGACUUCGUCCCAGGAUCCUCGAUCUAGUCCGACUGUUUAUUUGUAGAUCUUUCUCGAGCCAAACUAAUCAGCCUGCGUAAGAUCCGGUUCCGUUAUCAAAUAGAUAUUAAAGCUUUCCAGCACUUCAGAGAUCUAGUUACCAAAUAGCAAAUAGUUUUUUAUUAAAAGCUAUGCUGCUCAAAGCUCCAAAGACAAAAAAGUUCUACCACCUAUAGCAAUAUCAAACUAGGUCUAAAUCUACCAACCAUAUUAGUUCCAAAUUCCUUUUGAUGUCCAUUUAUCAAAGAGGUGAUGAGGAAAUAUUAUGGUUGCAGCCAUAAUUUGUUAGCUUCAGAUUCCGAUACUGGAGUCCAUGUGUGUGAUGAAACCUUGCAUAACUGUCAUGUAUCCAUGUAAGCAGGCAUCAGAUCUACACUUAAACAAAACCUUGCAUAACUGUCAUGUAUCCAUGUAAGCAGGCAUCAGAUCUACACUUGAACAAAACCUUGCAUAACUAUCAUGUCUCCAUGUAAGCAGACAUCAGAUCUACACUUAAACAAAACCUUGCAAAACUGUCAUGUAUCCAUGUAAGCAGGCAUCAGAUCUACACUUGAACAAUAAUGAAAUGAUACCCAUUGAGUGUUCGAAAU
rnacentral:lncRNA from 1 species